rfam:Myotis davidii contig89267, whole genome shotgun sequence.
CAUGGGGGCGGGGGGAGUCCCUUGGCCCAGAUUGCGAGAGGGUGCAGGCCAGGUCAAGGGACCCCACCAGUGUAUG